rnacentral:rRNA from 1 species
AGUGAACGCUGGCGGUAGGCCUAACACAUGCAAGUCGAACGGCAGCACAGGAGAGCUUGCUCUCUGGGUGGCGAGUGGCGGACGGGUGAGGAAUACAUCGGAAUCUACCUUUUCGUGGGGGAUAACGUAGGGAAACUUACGCUAAUACCGCAUACGACCUACGGGUGAAAGUGGGGGACCGCAAGGCCUCACGCGAUUAGAUGAGCCGAUGUCCGAUUAGCUAGUUGGCGGGGUAAUGGCCCACCAAGGCGACGAUCGGUAGCUGGUCUGAGAGGAUGAUCAGCCACACUGGAACUGAGACACGGUCCAGACUCCUACGGGAGGCAGCAGUGGGGAAUAUUGGACAAUGGGCGCAAGCCUGAUCCAGCCAUACCGCGUGGGUGAAGAAGGCCUUCGGGUUGUAAAGCCCUUUUGUUGGGAAAGAAAUCCUAUCGGUUAAUAACCGGUGGGGAUGACGGUACCCAAAGAAUAAGCACCGGCUAACUCUGUGCCAGCCGCCGCGGUAAAAC